UGUGCCUUCCGAUCUCAGUGACAGAUUGUGUAUCUGGUGAGAGCCUGCCUCCUAGGCUUGUCUUGUCACUGUAACCUCAUGUGGCAGAAAGAACAAGGGAGCUUUCAAAGGCCACUUUCAUAAGGGCACUAAUCCCAUUCAUGUGGGCUCCACCCUGAUGACCUGAUGACCUCCACAGGUCGCACCUCCUAAAACAUUGGGCAUUAGAUAUUAAUACAUGAAUUUUAG